rnacentral:rRNA from 1 species
UACGUAGGGUGCGAGCGUUGUCCGGAAUUAUUGGGUGUAAAGAGCUCGUAGGCGGCUUGUCGCGUCGGAUGUGAAAGCCCGGGGCUUAACUCCGGGUCUGCAUUCGAUACGGGCAGGCUAGAGUUCGGUGGGGGAGAUCGGAAUUCCUGGUGUAGCGGUGAAAUGCGCAGAUAUCAGGAGGAACACCGGUGGCGAAGGCGGAUCUCUGGGCCGAUACUGACGCUGAGGAGCGAAAGCGUGGGGAGCGAACAGG